rnacentral:tRNA from 1 species
GUUGUGGCUCAGUGGUAGAGCACUCACCUAGCACCUGGGAGGCACUGGGUUCAAUCCUCAGCACAACA